rnacentral:rRNA from 1 species
GACGAACGCUGGCGGCGUGCUUAACACAUGCAAGUCGAACGGAAAGGCCCUGCUUUUGUGGGGUGCUCGAGUGGCGAACGGGUGAGUAACACGUGAGUAACCUGCCCUUGACUUUGGGAUAACUUCAGGAAACUGGGGCUAAUACCGGAUAGGAGCUCCUGCUGCAGGGUGGGGGUUGGAAAGUUUCGGCGGUUGGGGAUGGACUCGCGGCUGAUCAGCUUGUGGGUGGGGUAGUGGCUCACCAAGGCUUUGACCGGUAGCCGGCCUGAGAGGGUGGCCGGCCACACUGGGAGUGAGACACGGCCCAGACUCCUACGGGAGGCCGCAGUGGGGAAUGUUGGACAAUGGGCGGAAGCCUGAUCCAGCAAUGCCGCGUGCAGGAAGAAGGCCUUCGGGUUGUAAACUGCUUUUGUACGGAACGAAACGGCUCUGGUUAAUACCCGGGGCUAAUGACGGUACCGUAAGAAUAAGCACCGGCUAACUACGUG